rnacentral:rRNA from 1 species
UACGUAGGGGGGCAAGCGUUGUCCGGAAUCAUUGGGCGUAAAGAGCGUGUAGGCGGCCCGGUAAGUCCGCUGUGAAAGUCCAGGGCUCAACCCUGGGAUGCCGGUGGAUACUGUCGGGCUCGAGUCCGGAAGAGGAGUGUGGAAUUCCUGGUGUAGCGGUGAAAUGCGCAGAUAUCAGGAGGAACACCGGUGGCGAAGGCGGGGUCUCUGGGGCAAACAACGUGACGCUGGAGGAGCGAAAGCGUGGGGGAG